ensembl:lincRNA 9230020A06Rik RIKEN cDNA 9230020A06 gene
AAUCAGCAUCCAAGGAAGUCUCAAGGUGAGGCUGCAAUGCAGCCUUCUCAACAGGAUUCUAUAGAGAAGUGGGAUGCUAACUGAUUUCCAGAGGUGGCCUUGUUCCAGGGCUCUCUGAAAAUGCUACCUGGUGAUGAACUUGACUUUGUUCUUCUGAGCUAAGGGCACUGGCCCAGUGGGCCAUCUCACCAUGGCUCUACUCACCUGGUGGCCAGCAGAGUCCACUGAGAGCUGACUUCUGGGAGUCGUUGCUGGAAGAGAGUCUGGCAGGAAGAAUUGUCAAGUAUCUCAGCUGACUCCCCAGAGGAGAUGAAUAUCCUCCCCAGGGACAGCCAAGCAUAACAUCAGUCCUCUCUGGGCCAGCAAGAUGACUCAGCAAUAAAAGCACUCGCUGCCAAGUGUGACCCGACUGAGUUCAAUUCCCAGAACCUACGGAGUUGAACCAGAUAACCAACUCAUGCAAACUGCUCUGACCCCUACAUGGACAGCAUGGCAUAGAUGGUGGUGCUGUUUGGGAAGGCUAUGAAGGCUUCAGAAGGUGGAGGCUUGUUGGAGGAAGAGGAUCACUGGUGAUGUGCCUUGAUGUUUUAAAGUCUGGCCAAUUUCCUGUUUGCUCUUUAACUGCCUAGGCAAUGUAUCCAAAAGACUCAAGCUCCUGGAGCCAUGUUUUUCUACCAUGAUGGACUUCAUCCCUUCAAACUGUGAGCCAAGAUAAAUUCUUCCUUCUUUGGGUUGUUUCUUCUUGGGUAUUUGGUCACAGCAAUGAGAAGGGAUCGCCACUGCUGGUUGAGCUCCACUGUUUCAAUGGUUCCUGCACCUGCACGAGAAAGCUACACAUCUGCAUCUCCUUGGUCGUGGAGUCCAAGGUGGUUCCCAGCUGCCCAUGGAGUCCUCUUCAGAGGACUGACAAGCUGGAGAUGGAAACUACAUUUGGAGUCCUGCUCCAGGAGGGAAAACGGAAAAACAAGACACUGCCCCCAGAUGCAUCCAGGCAGGAGCUCAUUUCCAUCCCAAAUUGGCUCCAGAGGGCGAAGGCUUCUGGGAGAUACCAGGUUCCUUCUGCAGGAUGAGAAAAUCAGUUCAACAAUCCUCUACCCACACCUCAUCCCUGAACUUUGGAUUUCAUCUUCAGCAGCAUCAAGAGGCAAGCAGCAAAUCGUUGCUUGUAUACCACAAGUGAUGGGGAGCUCAUUACACUGCAAACUUCUCAUCCAGCUUCUGAGCACCAGGAUGCCAUCAGUGUGCUCCAUCGUUGGAGCUGAUGUCGGUUCCCUGAGGAACCCUCAUGAGGAUGGAGCUUGGCCAAUUCAGUCCUGCAGAGGUUUACAAACCAAGUUCAUUUAAGAGAUUCUUUUUGUUUCCAGUAACUGUUUGGCUAAGUCUUCAGCUUCUGAGGCUAGUGAUUGGGAAGGCUCAUGCCGGUCUGUUUUUAAAGGUAUAACUUGGCUCAUAUAAAGCUAAAGUCUGGCCUGAUUCAGUACUGCCCUAAGAAAAGCCAUUUGCUCAAAGGUGUUUACAGAGGAGGGAGACAGUGGGUUUCAGCUGCUUGGUUCUGUUCUGGGGGGCAUUGGGAUCCAGCAAUCAUCAAGAAUGAUCUGGUCUGACUGUGACUCACUGGGCCUGAAUGAAUUACCCCUUCCCCUUUGAUAUCAGUUCCUUCCAGGACUUUGGUAAAGAAUUCAAGAGCAAGUGGAGCCUCCAGUUUAACCCUUUACCCCAUUUUACAGAUAAGGAAGACUGAGAGAGUGAGUCCCAGAAAGAGGAAUUGAAUUACCUUGGGGAAACUACUAAAGCCUAAAUCUUGUGGCUUUCACUUUCAGCGUGCUAGUACUUCACAACCAUGCUUUCUCUUAUUCCCUGGAUUUUAGAGCCUCUUUUUCUUCCCCCUACCUGAGUUUUCCCAGACUGAUCCAGACUUCAGAGGUCACCAACCUCCAGCCUUGAGCUUCCCUCAAACCUGGAGCUCAGCACAUACUUAUGUCAUGAACUUUUCCCCACAGAGACAAGAUUAAAGGGAGAUGUUAAUAUUCAAGCAACCUCGCUAAACAAGC